CGUGCAGGCGGUUUCGUAAGUCGGACGUGAAAGCUCCUGGCUUAACUGGGAGAGUGCGUUCGAUACUGCGGGGCUUGAGGUCGGGAGAGGGACGUGGAAUUCCCGGUGUAGUGGUGGAAUGCGUAGAUAUCGGGAGGAACACCAGUGGCGAAGGCGGCGUCCUGGCCCGUACCUGACGCUGAGACGCGAAAGCGUGGGUAACGAACGG
rnacentral:rRNA from 1 species